GAUGAACGCUGGCGGCGUGCCUAAUACAUGCAAGUCGAGCGAACAGAUGAGGAGCUUGCUCCUCUGACGUUAGCGGCGGACGGGUGAGUAACACGUGGAUAACCUACCUAUAAGACUGGGAUAACUUCGGGAAACCGGAGCUAAUACCGGAUAAUAUAUUGAACCGCAUGGUUCAAUAGUGAAAGACGGUUUUGCUGUCACUUAUAGAUGGAUCCGCGCCGCAUUAGCUAGUUGGUAAGGUAACGGCUUACCAAGGCAACGAUGCGUAGCCGACCUGAGAGGGUGAUCGGCCACACUGGAACUGAGACACGGUCCAGGCUCCUACGGGAGGCAGCAGUAGGGAAUCUUCCGCAAUGGGCGAAAGCCUGACGGAGCAACGCCGCGUGAGUGAUGAAGGUCUUCGGAUCGUAAAACUCUGUUAUUAGGGAAGAACAAAUGUGUAAGUAACGAUGCACGUCUUGACGGUACCUAAUCAGAAAGCCACGGCUAACUACGU
rnacentral:rRNA from 1 species